UGCCUAAACCAACAAAUUUAUUUGUAGGCAUGGCAAAAAAGACCUAUGGAAGGUACUGAACCCUGCGUUCAGCGACUCUUCCAUGGGCUGUACUCCGAAAGGUGUAUGGGAUCGCAAGAUCU
rnacentral:sRNA from 12 species